UAUAGAAUUCUUUCACAUUUUUUGUUAAUUUCUAAGGCUAUUGUAAAUGGAAUUGUUUUCCUCCUUUCCUUUUCAGAUUAUUUAUUGCUCAUGUUUAGAAAUUCAACUGAUAUUUGUACGUUGACGUCAUAUCUUGCUGCUUUCCUGAACUCAUUUGUUAUUCUGAUGGUUUUAUUGUGGAAAGAGAAUCUUUUCUACAUAGAAGAUCGUAUCUCAAAUUUGCCUGGACAUUUCAUAUAAAUGGAAUCAUAUAGUAUCUUGUCCUUUGUGAUGACUUACGUCUCUUAGCAUAAUGUUCUUAUCGCUGAAUAAUAUCUGUUGUAUGGAUAUACCAUAUUUUAUCUAUUGGUAAGUAACUCUGGAUGGUUGAUAUUUGAGUUAUUUCCACUUUUCAGCUGGUAUGGAUAAUGCUGCUUUGAACAUUUUAUGUACACUUUUUGUGUCAACAUUUAGCCUCUCUCUUCUCAUUACAAAAUAGAAAAGAGGUGAGAUUUUAAAAUUUUAGUGGCUCCUUUUUGCUGAAAAUAAGAAAUUAAAAUAUCUUAAUAAGAAUUCUGUAGUUUUUCACAACUUGGCUAUAAUAUCAGGCUGUAAUAAUACCAGUCCCAUUUCUCUCUGUUUAACUCUCCUCCGUAGACCCUUUCCAAAGAGAACCCUUUUUCAGUUUGCAGAACAUGUUUUGCCUUCUUACCUCUGAAGCCAUUAACUUUCUUUUUGAUAUCCUGUUUCUAAUUCUUGGUCUGAACUGAAGCUUUUUCCCUCUCAAGAUACAAUUCAGAUGUCACCAGACCUUUGCAAAGUUUCAGACCUGGUUACUUCUGGUUUUCAGCAGUACUUUUAAUGUACAUCAAAUAGUAAUUAUCACAGGAUUUGUUUCUUUAUUUACCUGUGACUUCCUUUCUGUUGGAGCUCCUUUCAGAUAAGAAGUAUUUUAUCUCUAUAGCUUAAUACAGACCUUGAUGGAGCAUUGAAGCUUACAGUUGACUUAAGAGAGAGGAUGGGGUGCCUGGGUGGCUCAGUUGGUUAAGUGACUGCCUUCAGCUCAGGUCACGAUCCUAGAGUCCCAGGAUCAAGUCCUGCGGCAAGCUCCCUGCUCAGCAGGAAGUCUGCUUUUUCCUGUGACCUUCCCCCUCUCGUGCUCUCUCUCUCUCUCUCAUUCUCUCCUUCUCAAAUAAAUAAAAUCUUUUAAAAAAAGGAUUUAAAAUUAGGUAUUGUAUCAAAUUGGUCUGUAUUAUGAUCUCUGCGUGGUAUCUUUUCUGUUUUUUUAUUCUGUUUUAGUAUCAGUUAUACCUCAAUUACAAACAAUACUGAAGCUACCUAAAGAAAAAAAAAAUCUGUUGUUAUGUCUUCUUUUUCCCUGUGGUCCUAUGUCC
rnacentral:lncRNA from 1 species